rnacentral:rRNA from 1 species
UAGUAUAGCAUCUAUACGGUGAACUGCGAAUGGCUCAUUAAAUCAGUCAUAAUUUAUUUGAUAGUACCAUUCUACUUGGAUAACCGUGGUAAUUCUAGAGCUAAUACAUGCUAAAAACCCCGACUUCGGAAGGGGUGUAUUUAUUAGAUAAAAAACCAAUGCCCUUCGGGGCUCCUUGGUGAUUCAUGAUAACUUAACGAAUCGCAUGGCCUUGUGCCGGCGAUGGUUCAUUCAAAUUUCUGCCCUAUCAACUUUCGAUGGUAGGAUAGUGGCCUACCAUGGUUUCAACGGGUAACGGGGAAUUAGGGUUCUAUUCCGGAGAGGGAGCCUGAGAAACGGCUACCACAUCCAAGGAAGGCAGCAGGCGCGCAAAUUACCCAAUCCCGACACGGGGAGGUAGUGACAAUAAAUACUGAUGCAGAGCUCUUUUGGGUUUUGCAAUUGGAAUGAGUACAAUUUAAAUCCCUUAACGAGGAACAAUUGGAGGGCAAGUCUGGUGCCAGCAGCCGCGGUAAUUCCAGCUCCAAUAGCGUAUAUUAAAGUUGUUGCAGUUAAAAAGCUCGUAGUUGAACCUUGGGCCUGGCUGGCCGGUCCGCCUCACCGCGUGCACUGGUCCGGCCGGGCCUUUCCUUCUGGGGAGCCGCAUGCCCUUCACUGGGUGUGUCGGGGAACCAGGACUUUUACUUUGAAAAAAUUAGAGUGUUCAAAGCAGGCCUAUGCUCGAAUACAUUAGCAUGGAAUAAUAGAAUAGGACGUGUGGUUCUAUUUUGUUGGUUUCUAGGACCGCCGUAAUGAUUAAUAGGGAUAGUCGGGGGCAUCAGUAUUCAAUUGUCAGAGGUGAAAUUCUUGGAUUUAUUGAAGACUAACUACUGCGA